UAGAAUGAAGCUAGUAGGAUAAAGCAUUUAGCUGUUAACUAAAAUAUUAUGGGAUCAAAGCCCAUCAUUCUAG
rnacentral:tRNA from 1 species